rnacentral:lncRNA from 1 species
UUUUCUUCUUCACAUUGGUUUCGAGAAAAAUAGUCUGCAUUAGAGGCACAGGAUUUUAGAGACAAGAAAAUAGUCAUUCCAGUGACUACGUCCACAAACUAUUGGAGAAAUGUGUUUUAUCCAUGUACAUGUAUUUGGAAUGAGGACCUCAGAUUGCAAAACCAUCACGAUGACUUCACGUCAGUGCCAGCAUACAGCCGUGGAAUACAGUGAGCGCUCUCUGCAGCUGACAGCAAUAGCGGUGAUCUAAUUUACCCGGCGACUGGAGGAAAUUCUCUGUACAGGCUCUGGGUCCCUUUGGAUUAGUGACUUCAAGGUCAACUGGAGGAGAAAGGAGGCAAGGCUGAGGGUCACCCUCUCCUGUCUCAUUUGCAUGCUCUUGAAUAUAGGAUUUUAAGAAACAUACGUUUUUG